CCUACGGGAGGCAGCAGUCGAGAAUCAUUCACAAUGGGGGCAACCCUGAUGGUGCGACGCCGCGUGGGGGAAUGAAGCUCUUCGGAUUGUAAACCCCUGUCAUGUGGGAGCAAAUUAAAAAGAUAGUACCACAAGAGGAAGAGACGGCUAACUCUGUGCCAGCAGCCGCGGUAAUACAGCGGUCUCAAGCGUUGUUCGGAAUCCUUUGGCGUAAGGCGUGCGUCGGCGGUUUCGUAAGUCAUGUGUGAAAGGAGAGGGCUCAACCCGCGGACGGCACAUGAUACUGGGAGACUAGAGUAAUGGAGAGGGAGGCGGAAUUCUCGGUGUAGCAGUGAAAUGCGUAGAUAUCGAGAGGAACACUCGUGGCGAAGGCGGGUUCCUGGACAGUAACUGACGCUGAGGCACGAAGGCGAGGGGAGCGAAAGGGAUUAGAUACCCUUGUAGUC
rnacentral:rRNA from 1 species